GGGGGGGCGUAUUGCCCCCCCCCGCCCCCCUUCAGGAACCGGAAAGGGGGUUUGUAGGGCUGAGAGCCGCACGGUGGGAUCCGCAGGUUUUCAGCAUGCCACAGAAUUUUGUAUGGACAAUUCGCAAGUGCAGAUGUUGCUGAGGACUGAGAGGGGCUGCUGGCAGUUGGGCCUUUUCCCACCUCAGAAGUCAUAUGAAGCAAUUUGGAACCACACGAUGUUAGCUGAAGUGCUCUGUUAACAUGUUGCUUAAAUAGACCAGAAUAGUCGCUGCCCAGGGCCACGCUGCCCUUAGAGCCAGGGAGUGGAGCCUCAACUCAGAGAUUACAGAUAGUUGAUGGAGCAUAGUGGAUGACCAAGCUUGUCUCCUCAGCCAUGCGUCAGAGCCGUACCAUCCAAACCCUGUUGGCAUCCCAAGAGGUAGGAACUAGUUCAACACCAAACGGGGGGUGGGAAUGGAAGAAAAAAAAAAAAAAAGGCUUAUGAAAGGUUUCUAGAACUACCCAAUGGUACCAGUGUGCCUCCUGACAUCUGUGAUGGCACACCCUUGAGAAGAGGUGGAGGCAACGGAGAUGACUAGAUGGGGCCAAGAUAGUCUAAUUAAUUUUCUCUCCUGCUAAUUUUGUAGAUUAAAGAGAUGUGAUCCAGAGCUGCCAUGUUAGUCUUUGCAACGAAGCAGGGAUGGAACUAAGUCAAACUUAAUAAAUUGUAUAGAAUAACCCCCCUAACCACUAAACUGUUUGCUUCCUCCAACCUCCCCCUGCAAAAAAAAAAUAAUCUUAAUUGUAUCAUUAAAUAUGUAUGUUUUAUAUAGUCUGUAGUUUAUUUUAGAAUUAUAAGCAUUUUUAAGUCUCUUCUUCUUCACAAGUAUGUAUGGCCUCAUCCACAUUUGCAGGGAGCCUUGAAUCUGUAGUCCAUUGUGUAAAUAUUUUUAGGAGUUAAAUCGCAUAGUCAUUGGGUCAUAAUUGUCAUUAGAAUGAAUGGGAGGUUUAAAUAAGGACUGAAAACUUUCACCAUGGUAAAACUUCAGGGGACAAAGAAAAUGAACAAAGAAAUUUCCUGAGGAGAACCUCAAAAUCCUUGCUGCAAACUUUAGUGACAGAAGUCUGAGGGGAUGAAGUGAAGAAAGAAAUUUGGCAUUUGCAGAUCAAAAUGCUUUUACUGAUGUCGUCAGGAGUAUUUGGAG